rnacentral:tRNA from 1 species
GUCUUUAUGGUGUAACGGUAGCACACUCGGCGCGUGUGUAUUCGAGAGGUCCAGGUUCGAAUCCCGGAGAGGACA